AGGCCAGUCUUUAGGGGUGUCAGCCUGAAGAGUCAUGACCAACCAGUUCUGAAGAAGUCAAGGGCUCUGCCUGUGGCACUGAUCCAAGGGUGACUCAGAGGGAAGAUUGCCAUCCACCCAGUCACAAACAAUCCUUUUCGAAGCUCUGGUGGAUUUGCUUUGAAGGACUCUUGUCUUAGUAUUGACCAAGGCCUUGCUCAGCUUAUGAGAUUUGACAAGAACACAGGCCAGAGUGGGAUGGCUUCAUGUUGCCUGAAGCUGAUAGUUUUUGAGAUCAGAGAUCCCUGA
rnacentral:lncRNA from 1 species